AUACGGAGGGUGCAAGCGUUAAUCGGAAUUACUGGGCGUAAAGGGUGCGUAGGCGGCAUGGCAAGUUGGGUGUGAAAUCCCUCGGCUCAACCGAGGAAUGGCGCCCAAAACUGCCUUGCUUGAGGGAGUUAGAGGUGAGCGGAACUACGGGUGGAGCGGUGAAAUGCGUUGAUAUCCGUAGGAACACCGGUGGCGAAAGCGGCUCUCUGGUCCGGUCCUGACGCUGAGGCGCGAAAGCGUGGGGAGCAAACAGAAUUAGAAACCCCAGUAGUCC
rnacentral:rRNA from 1 species